UUGGGCUGCAGGAUGAAGAGCUUCUGCAGAGGAGAGGAUGGCUGGAGGAAGAGGAGUUGCUUAGGGUAUGGAUUAAGGCCCUGCAAGAGUCUGGAGGGAAGGCUGCUGUGGGGUUCCAGCAUCCUUGCCUGGUUUGGAAAACAGCUGGUUAGACGACAAGGGAAUUUGAUUGCAUCAAGCAUCUUGCUACCCAAAGUGCAAAUGGGGCUGUGUAAAGUGCCUGGUCCUCCCCACUCGUGAAGACCUGCCAGCAUCUGAGGCUGUUCACAACUUCCCAAAAGUCAAUCCAUGUGAGAUGAAGUUGCUUGGGGCAAACCAAGGCUUUUUUUUUUUUUAAUUUCUGUUGGCUGUCAUUCACAAAUAAAGUCAAUUUUCACUGA